rnacentral:rRNA from 1 species
AGUGAACGCUGGCGGUAGGCCUAACACAUGCAAGUCGAACGGCAGCACAGUAAGAGCUUGCUCUUACGGGUGGCGAGUGGCGGACGGGUGAGGAAUACAUCGGAAUCUACUUUUUCGUGGGGGAUAACGUAGGGAAACUUACGCUAAUACCGCAUACGACCUACGGGUGAAAGCAGGGGAUCUUCGGACCUUGCGCGAUUGAAUGAGCCGAUGUCGGAUUAGCUAGUUGGCGGGGUAAAGGCCCACCAAGGCGACGAUCCGUAGCUGGUCUGAGAGGAUGAUCAGCCCAACUGGAACUGAGACACGGGCCCGACUCCUACGGGAGGCAGCAGUGGGGAAUAUUGGACAAUGGGCGGAAGCCUGAUCCAGCCAUACCGGGUUGGUGAAGAAGGCCUUCGGGUUGUAAAGCCCUUUUGUUGGGAAAGAAAAGCAGCAGGUUAAUACCCCGCUGUUCUGACGGUACCCAAAGAAUAAGCACCGGCUAACUUCGUG